UCUCUGCUAAAGUCCUACUGAAGUAUAGAGGGKGAAUUCUGCCCAAUGGUUGUAUAGUGAAACUGAGGACUAACGUCUAAAGCGAAACCCAGCUGAAUGGCCGCGGUAACUCUGACCGUGAUAAUGUAGCACAAUAAAUAGCCAAUUAAUUGUUGGCGGGUAUGAAUGGAACCACGAGGGUCUUACUGUCUCAAGAGGAAAGCCGAUGAAAUUAUAAUUGUAGUGAAGAUACUACAUAAACAUUGUAAGACGAAAAGACCCUGUCGAGCUUUACUGGAUGCCAAUAGCGUUAAUUUAGAAUGAUCGAUACUAAGUAUUCUAAUUUUAAGUUAAUAAUUCUUGUUGGCAGGACAGUUUAGUUGGGGCGACUACCUUUGAAUAAGAAACGAAGGCGAGCUUAUGGUAUUAUUUAAAAUCUCAUUAGCCUGACAGUGAGGGGGACACCCCUAGCUGGCACAAGGACCUACCCACCUAGUAUAUAAUAUAUACGUAAUGGGUUCCUAUGUGGGCGAUAAUGACCCGAUAGAAUUAUCCAAAUUAAAUAUCGAAAGCGGAUAAAAGCUACCGCAGGGAUAACAGCGUAAUAUUGUCGGAGAGUUCCUAUCGAGGACAGUGUUUGCGACCUCGAUGUUGAAUUGCGGUGCCCUGGUGCUGUAGAAGGUACCCCAGGUUGGUCUGUUCGACCA
rnacentral:rRNA from 1 species